CCUACGGGUGGCAGCAGUGGGGAAUAUUGGACAAUGGGGGCAACCCUGAUCCAGCCAUGCCGCGUGUGUGAAGAAGGCCCUCGGGUUGUAAAGCACUUUCAGUGAGGAAGAACGCCUGGUGGUUAAUACCCAUCAGGAAAGACAUCACUCACAGAAGAAGCACCGGCUAACUCCGUGUCAGCAGCCGCGGUAAUACGGAGGGUGCGAGCGUUAAUCGGAAUUACUGGGCGUAAAGCGCGCGUAGGUGGCUUGAUAAGCCGGUUGUGAAAGCCCCGGGCUCAACCUGGGAACGGCAUCCGGAACUGUCAAGCUAGAGUGCAGGAGAGGAAGGUAGAAUUCCCGGUGUAGCGGUGAAAUGCGUAGAGAUCGGGAGGAAUACCAGUGGCGAAGGCGGCCUUCUGGACUGACACUGACACUGAGGUGCGAAAGCGUGGGUAGCAAACAGGAUUAGAUACCCGAGUAGUC
rnacentral:rRNA from 1 species